GAUGAACGCUAGCGGCAGGCUUAAUACAUGCAAGUCGAGGGGCAGCAUGAUUGUAGCAAUACAAUUGAUGGCGACCGGCAAACGGGUGCGGAACACGUACACAACCUUCCAACAAGUGGGGGAUAGCCCAGAGAAAUUUGGAUUAAUACCCCGUAACCUAGCGAUGUGGCGUCACAUUGCUAUUAUAGAUUUUUCGCUUGUUGAUGGGUGUGCGGCUGAUUAGAUAGUUGGCGGGGUAACGGCCCACCAAGUCUACGAUCAGUAGCUGAUGUGAGAGCAUGAUCAGCCACACGGGCACUGAGACACGGGCCCGACUCCUACGGGAGGCAGCAGUAAGGAAUAUUGGACAAUGGACGCAAGUCUGAUCCAGCCAUGCCGCGUGAAGGAUUAAGGUCCUCUGGAUUGUAAACUUCUUUUAUAAGGGACGAAAAAAGGUCUUUCUAGAUCGUCUGACGGUACCUUAUGAAUAAGCACCGGCUAACUCCGUGCCAGCAGCCGCAGUAAGAC
rnacentral:rRNA from 1 species